rnacentral:rRNA from 1 species
UACGGAGGGGGGCUAGCGUUGUUCGGAAUUACUGGGCGUAAAGCGCACGUAGGCGGCUUUUGUAAGUUAGAGGUGAAAGCCCAGGGCUUAACCCUGGAAUUGCCUUUAAGACUGCAUCGCUAGAAUCGUGGAGAGGUGAGUGGAAUUCCGAGUGUAGAGGUGAAAUUCGUAGAUAUUCGGAAGAACACCAGUGGCGAAGGCGACUCACUGGACACGUAUUGACGCUGAGGUGCGAAAGCGUGGGGAGCAAACAGG